rnacentral:rRNA from 1 species
UACAGAGGGGGCUAGCGUUGUUCGGAAUUACUGGGCGUAAAGGGCGCGUAGGCGGCCCUCUAAGUCGAACGUGAAAUCCCCGGGCUCAACCCGGGAACUGCGUCCGAUACUGGAUGGCUUGAAUCCGGGAGAGGGAUGUGGAAUUCCAGGUGUAGCGGUGAAAUGCGUAGAUAUCUGGAGGAACAUCGGUGGCGAAGGCGGCAUCCUGGACCGGUAUUGACGCUGAGGCGCGAAAGCCAGGGGAGCAAACGGG